rnacentral:lncRNA from 10 species
CCCCACUGUUGCUCUCCUGGGAGGACUUCAGCAGCCCUGUCAAUUCCUCUUCACCUGCCACCCUUGUCGAAAGCCCUCCAGUGACCCCCUCCUCAAUUCCCCACGAAUCCUGUGAUGUGACAGCUAUUAUUCUGGCCUUUGCAGAGAUGAAGAAACUGAGGCUCAGAGAGGUUAAGGGACAGCCCAAAGUCACACAGCUAGCAGGAGGCAGAGCCAUAUUUUGAGUCUGAUUCAAUGAACUGGACCCAUUUUCUGAACCUUGAACUCCAAGGAAAUCAUAGCUAGUUUUGGUGACGAAAUGCAAACCAAAAGUGUUGUUUUUUCUUAAAAUCACCUCUUGAACUGGUUUGAAUGAAAAUCCAAAAUGAACAUGUACUUAACUAUUAAACCAGAGAAGGACUGGAACAUCAAAAUAUUGGCAAGACCAAGCAUAAAUGGAGGUCUCUCUCCACCAGCACGCCUGGUUUUAACAAGUACCAUCAUUUGUGUCUAGUUCUGGGUAACAAAGAGAUUUCCACAAGUCAGCAGCCUACGAUGAAAGGAUGUUGCUGAUCUGGUUACAACAAACUCUAUUAAGUAAAAAAAUUCCAUCUGACAGAGGUUUUCAUCAGUCCCUCUCCCUACUGGAGACACUCUCCUCAAUAAGAAUAUGAGUUUGGGAUUUGUCUUUUUGUGAAAUGAAAAUGAAAUUAACCAAGAAUUUACAAAAAGCUUUCACUCACCAAGGUUGCAAACUCAGAGGCCUCCAGGGGCCAGCCAGGUGAGUGGAAUAAAUGGAGUCUGAGCAUGCUGUGCAAUAGGGAGUGGUGAGGACUGUGGCAAACUGAAGAGCCCAUGCUGGGGCCAGCUGCAACUCAACUCCAGUCAUUUAUUUCAUAGUGACACUAGAUCGGCAGGUUUUUUGACUUUUCAAGGGAAUAUGGGAUUUUGGUAUAAAGUUUCCUGGUAGUGGAAGGUUGAUAACAAAUUUAAAAAUAAAUUAUAUAAGACAAAC